rnacentral:misc_RNA from 1 species
UUUCCGUAGGUGAACCUGCGGAAGGAUCAUUACUGAGUGAGGGCCCCUCGGGGUCCAACCUCCCACCCGUGUUUAACGAACCUUGUUGCUUCGGCGGGCCCGCCUCACGGCCGCCGGGGGGCAUCUGCCCCCGGGCCCGCGCCCGCCAAAGCCACCUGUGAACGCUGUCUGAAGUAUGCAGUCUGAGACAAUUAUUAAAUUAAUUAAAACUUUCAACAACGGAUCUCUUGGUUCCG